rnacentral:rRNA from 1 species
UACGGGGGGAGCAAGCGUUGUUCGGAUUUACUGGGCGUAAAGGGCGCGUAGGCGGCCACCGCAAGUCGGUUGUGAAAUCUCUGGGCUUAACCCAGAAAGGUCAACCGAUACUGCGGGGCUAGAGUGCAGAAGGGGCAACUGGAAUUCUCGGUGUAGCGGUGAAAUGCGUAGAUAUCAGGAGGAACACCGGUGGCGAAGGCGGGUCUCUGGGCCGAAACUGACGCUGAGGAGCGAAAGCGUGGGGAGCGAACAGG